CAAUAGCGUAUAUUAAAGUUGUUGCGGUUAAAAAGCUCGUAGUUGGAUUUCUGCUGAGAACGACCGGUCCGCCCUCUGGGUGUGUAUCUGGCUCUUUCUUGGCAUCUUCUUGGUGAACGUUGCUGCACUUGACUGUGUGGAGCGCUACCCAGGACUUUUACUUUGAGGAAAUUAGAGUGUUUCAAGCAGGCAUACGCCUUGAAUACAUUAGCAUGGAAUAAUAAGAUAGGACCUCGGUUCUAUUUUGUUGGUUUCUAGAGCUGAGGUAAUGAUUAAUAGGGAUAGUUGGGGGCAUUCGUAUUUAACUGUCAGAGGUGAAAUUCUUGGAUUUGUUGAAGACGGACUACUGCGAAAGCAUCUGCCAUGGAUGUUCUCAUUGA
rnacentral:rRNA from 1 species